UUGAGCCAUAUGCGGGGAAACUCGCACGUACGGUUCCUGGAAGAGAACACGCCGGUAACGGCGUGUCUUCACCGGCUUCGC
rnacentral:ncRNA from 1 species